rnacentral:sRNA from 1 species
CACAUUAUUGAGUACAUUGAUGAAGUUUGCGCCUGAAUGGGAAGAAUAAUUUCUCACAUCCAAUGUGUGAUGGCUGCUAUAGUUAUGAGACAAGUUCUUAAACAGACCGUAAAAGAAGGGAAUGCAUCAACGACCUUUUAGCAUGAAUAGUUAGUCUCCCCGGGGAUAAGGAUUGAUCAUAGUAGAGAUAUGAGAAGUUUGAUGUUCCAAUGGCCUACACUAUAGAGCAACAAUUAUUUAUGUUGGAAUAGCUUGGUCUGCAAGUUUUUACCACUACCAUUUGUUCUUGACUUCUUUCAUGGGUUUUGGGAUUUGUUCUUCGGUUGGUUUACAAGAGGGAACUUUACUAUGAAAAAGGGAAGAAGCUUGGGAAAAAAAGAACAAGAGAAGAUCAUGAUCAGCUAAAAUAGAGUAUACUGGAGGGAGCUACUGAUUCAGAAGAUGCUCAUCACAAAGACUUCCUUUACGCUUGUUAGACAAUAGACACCAAUUUUCUUUUCUUUCAGUUUAAUUUUCUUAUUUGUUUGGUUGUCGGAUCAGAUUAAAAGAUACCACGAACUCUCCUAAAAAAACCGGAGUAUACUUUUCAACUGCAAUAGCAGGAGCAGAUUGAUGAUUGUGAAGCAUGAACCCGAGUAUUGGAAAUAUGUAGAGGAAGGAUAAACCUGAGAGAGACACUACUUUGCCAACCGAGAUAUGCCAGAAACUUGAAGACCAUUUGAGCUAGUGAGAUCAAUUAGAGGACCAGAUUCAUCCAAUCAUUGAUAAGUGCCAGUACCAACCUGAUAAACGAGAUACAGCAACAUCUAUGUCAGCCCACAAAGCACGAUGAGUACUUGAUCAGCCUCUUCCACAUCCAGUUUCACGAACCCGGAAAAUCUGCAUCCCAAAACAAAAUAUCGGUGCAUUCAUGCAUACAUCCAUACAUGCAUUCAUGCAUACAUCCAUACAUGCAUUCAUGCAUACAUCCAUACAUGCAUUCAUGCAUACAUCCAUACAUCCAUACAUGCAUUCAUGCAUACAUCCAUACAUGCAUACAUUUUAUACAUUCAUACAUGCAUACACAUGCAUAUAUAUUUGCUUUCUUGAUUUAUUGAUUAGGUCAUUGCUUGCUACUUUAGUACAUUUGUUAAUAACUUGUUCUUGUUUGUUUCUUGUGCUUAUCUCAGUUUGUAACGUGCUUGCUUGUUUCUUGCACUGAUUGCUUACAUGUUUAACUUGUUCACUUUAUUCCUUCUUUGUUUCAUUGAUUAUUUGAUCGUUGCUUGACUUGUUUGUUUGUUUCCUUCUUGGUUCCUUGAUUUACUUUACUUCAUUGGGCAGCCUUCUUCUUGGAUACUCGCUUACUUAGUUGUUUCAAUCAAUUUCUUUACACACUCGUUUGCUUGUUUCCUGAUCCUCUGGUUUUUCUUUUUCUUUUUUACUUUCGUCGUCACUAUUUCUUACAUGAACUUCUCUACUUGUUUCGUUGUUUGCUUACGAUUUUCAUUUGGUUACUCGCUUUCUUUUGCUUUCUUUACUCCUUCCAUAGUUCCAUUGCUUGCUUAGACGUAAUUGUUUAAGAAAAAAUCUCCACAACAUCCUCUUUGUUCUUGCAAACUCCAUUACUUAAUUCCGUUUAUGCGUAUCUUUUAAAAUAUCUACAACUCUUUAGCGAAAUUUUAUAAUCCACACUAUACAAUUUAAUUCGUUUUAUAUAUGACAUGUUUAGCAAAAAAAAAU